CAGUAUUGAAUAUUAUUAUAGUAAAGUUUAUAGCGGAAAAAGUUAUUCGAACUUGAAUAUAAUUAUGAAACUGUUACAAUUAUUCAUAGUCGUUGGAUGCAUUGCUGCCGGUGUAUUGGGUGCCCCAAGUAAUAACAUAUUGAAUGGCGUCGAAAACUCUGGUGUGAUGAGUGUACAUUAACCAAAACUUAACUUGCUUAAUUUUGGAUAUAAAUUUAAUUAGUUUUGAAUCUUAAACAAAUUAAUAAAAUAUGUAAUCGAACAAAAUAUUAAA